CGUUUACGGGGCUGUGCCCCCCCAACCAA
rnacentral:tRNA from 1 species